rnacentral:rRNA from 1 species
GAGUUUGAUCAUGGCUCAGAUUGAACGCUGGCGGCAGGCCUAACACAUGCAAGUCGAGCGGUAGCACAGAGAGCUUGCUCUCGGGUGACGAGCGGCGGACGGGUGAGUAAUGUCUGGGAAACUGCCUGAUGGAGGGGGAUAACUACUGGAAACGGUAGCUAAUACCGCAUAACGUCGCAAGACCAAAGAGGGGGACCUUCGGGCCUCUUGCCAUCAGAUGUGCCCAGAUGGGAUUAGCUAGUAGGUGGGGUAACGGCUCACCUAGGCGACGAUCCCUAGCUGGUCUGAGAGGAUGACCAGCCACACUGGAACUGAGACACGGUCCAGACUCCUACGGGAGGCAGCAGUGGGGAAUAUUGCACAAUGGGCGCAAGCCUGAUGCAGCCAUGCCGCGUGUAUGAAGAAGGCCUUCGGGUUGUAAAGUACUUUCAGCGGGGAGGAAGGUGUUGUGGUUAAUAACCACAGCAAUUGACGUUACCCGCAGAAGAAGCACCGGCUAACUCCGUGCCAGCAGCCGCGGUAAUACGGAGGGUGCAAGCGUUAAUCGGAAUUACUGGGCGUAAAGCGCACGCAGGCGGUCUGUCAAGUCGGAUGUGAAAUCCCCGGGCUCAACCUGGGAACUGCAUUCGAAACUGGCAGGCUAGAGUCUUGUAGAGGGGGGUAGAAUUCCAGGUGUAGCGGUGAAAUGCGUAGAGAUCUGGAGGAAUACCGGUGGCGAAGGCGGCCCCCUGGACAAAGACUGACGCUCAGGUGCGAAAGCGUGGGGAGCAAACAGGAUUAGAUACCCUGGUAGUCCACGCCGUAAACGAUGUCGACUUGGAGGUUGUGCCCUUGAGGCGUGGCUUCCGGAGCUAACGCGUUAAGUCGACCGCCUGGGGAGUACGGCCGCAAGGUUAAAACUCAAAUGAAUUGACGGGGGCCCGCACAAGCGGUGGAGCAUGUGGUUUAAUUCGAUGCAACGCGAAGAACCUUACCUACUCUUGACAUCCAGAGAACUUUCCAGAGAUGGAUUGGUGCCUUCGGGAACUCUGAGACAGGUGCUGCAUGGCUGUCGUCAGCUCGUGUUGUGAAAUGUUGGGUUAAGUCCCGCAACGAGCGCAACCCUUAUCCUUUGUUGCCAGCGGUUAGGCCGGGAACUCAAAGGAGACUGCCAGUGAUAAACUGGAGGAAGGUGGGGAUGACGUCAAGUCAUCAUGGCCCUUACGAGUAGGGCUACACACGUGCUACAAUGGCGCAUACAAAGAGAAGCGACCUCGCGAGAGCAAGCGGACCUCAUAAAGUGCGUCGUAGUCCGGAUUGGAGUCUGCAACUCGACUCCAUGAAGUCGGAAUCGCUAGUAAUCGUAGAUCAGAAUGCUACGGUGAAUACGUUCCCGGGCCUUGUACACACCGCCCGUCACACCAUGGGAGUGGGUUGCAAAAGAAGUAGGUAGCUUAACCUUCGGGAGGGCGCUUACCACUUUGUGAUUCAUGACUGGGGUGAAGUCGUAACAAGGUAAC